rnacentral:misc_RNA from 1 species
GAUGAAGAACGCAGCGAAAUGCGAUAAGUAAUGUGAAUUGCAGAAUUCAGUGAAUCAUCGAAUCUUUGAACGCACAUUGCGCCCGCCAGUAUUCUGGCGGGCAUGCCUGUUCGAGCGUCAUUUCAACCAUCAAGCCCCAGGCUUGUGUUGGGGACCUGCGGCUGCCGCAGGCCCUGAAAACCAGUGGCGGGCUCGCUGUCACACCGGGCGUAGUAGAUUUUAUCUCGCUCUGGGCGUGCUGCGGGUUCCGGCCGUUAAAAAGCCUUUUUUACCCAAGGUUGACCUCGGAUCAGGUAGGAAGACCCGCUGAACUUAAGCAUAUCAAUAAGCGGAGGA